UCGCUGCAGCCUGUAGGAAGGCGGAGUUGGACAUCCAACCCCGCCCACAUCCAACUCCGCCUUACGUCUAAAGCAACACCCACCUUACGUCCGUCACGAACGCCUACAUUUACUCCAGGUAAACAGGAAUUGUAGCCGAGAAAGCAGCUAAAGCAUCUAUCUGAUUUAUAUCUCCGGUUAUGGCGGUAAGUACAAAUAUUGAGUUAUUUUUUAAGUUAACAGAGCUAUUUUUAUAAUGUCCUCUUGUUUUUCUAUAUUAUAUUUUAUGAGUAAACGGUGAGUCGUUGAUACGCACAUGAAGGUUCUACAUCGGCGCGUGUACCAUGUGGUUUGUUUGCUUCUAGCUAGUCAUAUUGCCGUUUUUUUGAUGGAUUCUAAUGCAGAAUUGCACCCAGUCUUGUCUAAUUCAAACUUUAGUUAUCUUACCUUCUGUUUUAUGGGCUAAAAUGCUACCAAUUAAUGGUAUCACAGAUAAACUCUCAUAGCUAGUAGUGAGCUAGGCAUCAGUUUUGUUUUUAAGGCAUAGCUAGGGGUUAUAGUCAGCUAACCUAAAAAACUGUUUAAACUGUCUAUACAAGAAGUUAAUUGGCUAACAAGAUAGCAAGAUAAUCUAGCUAACUAAAAUUGGUUCAAAGUCUUAGUCAUACAAAUAAAUAUUUGAAGAUAUCAAUGCUUAAUCCUCCUAUUUAAUUUGUCAGGAAUAGCAAUGGUAUUCCCGGGUUAAUUUGACCUGGUUCAUUUUUAAUUAUCCAACAUAUUUCUGAAACCAAAAUAAUCCUAACCAGAAGAGUAAAUAUUUAAUAACUAACUCCAUUGCUGAUUGUUCUAUCAACAUUUAGUACAAUAGUGUACAAUAGAGGUAAUAGUUCAAUUAGGAUAAUUCACUUGUUUUUCCAUUUUAAAAAAUCUUACUUUUUUUUUGUUUUACUACUUUGUUACUUUUAAACGACCAACACAAUAUUUUUACAUAUAAAUGAAACAUAACAUUACAAUUUCGUUUUAGUUUCAGUUUUUGCAGGGGGUUGUUGCAAAUAUGAAAUUAACCAUUUUCAUGUUAUAUGUUAAUUAUACAAAUAAAGGCAAGCUGAAGACGUUUCAUACAGAAAAAAUACUUUUACUAUCUUACUAAAUGGAUCAAUUUGACCCGUAACGUAACAGGAGGGUUAAGUCGAUGCACAUUUAUUACCUUUGUACUGAAUGUAGUUACAAUUAAUGUGCACCGAUAUAGUAAUUGUAAGCUCAUGUGUUUUGUUGCUUUCUGUUUUACAGCAUACAGCACCAACACAUGUCCAGGCCACUCCUGACCCUUCACGGUUUGGCCAGUGUGGUGUUUUCAAAUGCCCCUGCUUCAGUUUUGACACUGACCAGCGAUUUAAUAACAGCCUACAUCUACAAAACCAUAUCAAACAAGCAGUCGAGAAUAACGGAAAGUUCAGCGUGUUGAACGUGUGACUGAUGAAGGAGAUAGAAUGGGCAACGUCUCCUUUGAACAGAUGCCCCUUAUUCUCAUAGAUACAGUUCUGGAAGAGGGGGACAAAGCUUUUUUAAAGCUGUCACUGGUUUGUCGUCUCUUCCGGGACAUUGUUUGGACAACAAUCAUUCCGGGCCCGGGCACAUUUCGAGUGGCUUGACAGUGUAGUGCCAUGAAAACAUCACAGUGCUGCAUGUAAAGACGAGUUUCGCAGGAUGUACGAACUGCAGUGCUGCCAGAACUGUCAAGAAACUUAUAAAGACUGCAUACUGGGCUACGUUGGGCAUGGGAGACGAGGGGAGCUUGUGGCAUUUUACAGCGAAAACGAGCACCCUGGAUUCUGCAGCCAGCUUCGUGAGUGGCUGGGUGUGUGAGUGGCUGGGUGUGUGAGUGGCUGGGUGUGUGAGUGGCUGGGUGUGUGAGUGGCUGGGUGUGUGAGUGGCUGGGUGUGUGAGUGGCUGGGUGUGUGAGUGGCUGGGUGUGUGAGUGGCUGGGUGUGUGAGUGGCUGGGUGUGUGAGUGGCUGGGUGUUGCAUUUUUAAAUAAAGACUUCUGUAUUUGUUUGACCAAAGCAUGUAACCAAACAUUUUAAAGGCUAGUGUGCCAAUAAAUGCCAAUAAAGAUAUUGUAUUAGCUUGGACAAAGUGUUUGUAAAUGGAGUUAAUUUCCCUGGGAACUACUGUCAGCCAUACAAAAUUGGGAGAGGAGAAGCAGGAAAGGGAUAUUAUUAUUAUUAUUAUUAUUAUUAUUAUUAUUAUUAUUAUUAUUAUUAUUGACAAAAUAGCUAUGUAUACAUACAUUUUUAAUUUCUGAAACCACAGCAUUUGAUAUAUUGUACUCUAUCGUUAUACACUAUCCAGCAUACCAUUAUUACCACCUGCUUGUUUCUGCUUCUAUUAUUCUUUUUUUAGCUCCAAUUAGCAUCUAGGACACUUUAGUUGCAUAAUGGUUUACUGGUGUAUAAUAUACAAUAGGU